UGCGAGGGCAUACAGUCCUCGCUUUUNUGUACCGUAGGGUGGUACAGGAACAAGGGCUGGGCAAGACCGGUGCCAGCCGCCGCGGUAAUACCGGCAGCNCGAGUGAUGGCCGAUAUUAUUGGGCCUAAAGCGUCCGUAGCUGGCCGGACAAGUCCGUUGGGAAAUCCACCCGCUUAACGGGUGGGCGUCCAGCGGAAACUGUCCGGCUUGGAGCCGGAAGAUCCGAGGGGUACGUCCGGGGUAGGAGUGAAAUCCCGUAAUCCUGGACGGACCGCCGGUGGCGAAAGCGCCUCGGAAGAACGGNNUCGACAGUGAGGGACGAAAGCUAGGGUCUCGAACCGGAUU
rnacentral:rRNA from 1 species